UCUACCACCCUGGGAAGAAAGGAAGUUAUCAAGAACUUGCUUCUGGAUAGGAACACUGUAACCCCAUGCUGCCAGUUAGGGGCAAUAAAAGCAGAGAAGCCUCAGGUACAGAGAUUUCUAAAAGACAACACCCAGAAACCUUAGAAAAUCUGGGGCCUCUGGCUGAUAUUGUGCCCAUUUUUCUCCCUCAACCAACCCCCAUCUUCACACCACACUAGGCACAUACUUCUUGGUCUUUGCAUCCUUUAGGACCUUGGCAUCAGCUUUAGCACUUUUCAGGUCUCUCCGCGCAUCUGCUAGCUGUUCCUUCUUGGCAUCAAUCUGGGUGGGGAAGAACCACAGUAAGACUUAGGAAUGAAAUAAGCUGAGAGAGAAAAAAGAAGAGCUCCUGCAGAGAAGAUGGAAGCUGGAAGCUGUCUCCACCAAGCAGGCUCUCUUUGUGGCCAGCAUGAACCGUUCUUCUAGAAUGGACCCAGAACUGGCCGUCUAAUACCCCAGCUCAGAAGGGUGGAGUAUAAAUGCCCACAGCAGAUACGGUUUUCUUCAUUUUGCUAUCCCGCCAUCCAGAUCCAAGAUACCUUAGUCUGCAAGUUCAUCAUGGACUUCUCAAAAGUUUUUGGUGGUGCCCUCUGAUGGUUACAAAGAAUUGCAACAGCUCGGUUGGCACGGUUAUAAGAUAGGAUCUUUGCUGGGAUGUUUUCAUCAGCUGUGAAGAAAGAAACAUGGUAAUAAAAGAGUCAGUGUGUAUAACAAGAAAUAAUACCCAGUGCUUCAUCCUCACUAUUAACUGGUCCUCAUCUAGCGCAGAUGAUCAGCUCAAGUUGGCACAAGGUCAGAAUCUGAGUCAACAGAAUCAUCUGCUUGCCUCAGUGCUCCCCCAUCUAACCACUCAAAGUAGCCUGAAGAAAAUAUGGCAUUGGGACAGAGAAAGUGUAUAGAGGAAAGUAAGACAAAGGCACUAUAAAUUUUACAUUUUAAAACCACAAAGUACUGUAUCUUUCAAUAAGAAAAAUAAAAAGUGUCAUCCAAGAA